GACGAAGUGAGUGACAACCACGUUUGAAUUCAUUUGAACAUUUGCGAUGAUACAGUCAAGUGCUAUGGCAAGCAAUGUUAAAAUCGAUUUUGAGAUUAGUUUAUGUUACAUUCUGUUAUUUUGUUAAAUUAACUUAAGAGUGUUCAAGUUUUCUGUAGUUAUUUAAAGUAUGCUUGACUUCUAUGUAAUUCACAUAGUUUCCUAUUAUGUCAACGCCAUGCUUCCUAUUUAACGUGAUAAUUCAGCUUUUGUAACUUCAUGAAACAACCUCUGGAGAUUUUCUCAGGUAGUGCAUCUACCUGUCUCAUGCUGUGAUAGGAAAAUUUAGAGGGUUUCCGAUGUGUGACGGAGUCGAUCGUUUUUCGUAUCACUAGUCAGCGGCGUGUCCCACAGGAUAUCUUUUUUGUUGGUGGGAUGUUGGACGACAGGUGCUUGCAGCUUGAUUUUCUGGAUUUCAUUCUGUGGAGGAUUAUGUGACCGAGUGGUGGCAAUCGUAUGUCUUUCAGGCUAUUGAGCUCAUUACUUCGGAUAUCUAAGGAUCAUUUGAUCUAACUUUGUAUUCUAUUGUCUCAAGUGAUGGUGUGCAGCUCUCGAUUCUACAAUGUAGAAGUUUUUGAGUUUUACUGUACCGUAUGAUGCCGUGCCGUCGGAGUAUUAGUAAGGGGCAGGUUGCGAUGUGGUGCGCUCUGCAGCUGAUGGCUUUGUUAAGGUGGAUAUUCUCAGGUGUGUGAAGGUCUUCCUGACGGAUUUCACAGUUCAGGUUCCAAUAAGAUGAGGUUGCUUUGGGGUUUCCUUGAUAUUUCUUUAUAAUGUGAAGGUUGUUAUUGGAUAUAUAGCCUGGCGGACUUCAGCAUUUCCAUUAGCCCAGGGUAUUGCUGCUGCAAAUAUUCUGACGGCCGUGCAUCUGCAGUGCAUGACUGAACUGCUACUGCCCAAUUGCAAGCGGUGUCAGAGAGCGGUAUCGUCUUUUUAAAGGCUAGGAAGAGGGCACACUAAUUAAAAUCUUGGUCUUCUGGUAUUCCCCUUAUCCUUAAUAAGUCGUACCUAUCUGCCGUGUCAUAGUGGGACGUUAACGUACAGUUUCAGGUCAAUACUUCGUAGCUUCAUCUGGCACUACCUUACAGCGUGACAAGCAUAUACGUGUGGAAUGUUUUCAGUUGUUCGGAGGCUGCUAUUCUUUCGUGGGACGUUGUCUGAGCCGCAAUCUAGUUCAUUCUUGGAUAUCCUAUCAUCGAUCUCUUGAAAUAAAAUUUGAAAAUCACA
rnacentral:lncRNA from 1 species